UUUCUCCCUUUCAUACCCACGAGUCCAACACCAAAAGAAAGAAAAGCUCUCUACUCUUCUCUCCCUCUCACACCUAUGGGUCCAUCAGCAAGAAGGAAGCUUCUUUCAACUCUCUCAAGCUUUCUACCUCUCAUACUUUUGGGUCCAGCCACUAGGAAAGGGAAAUCCUUUCAUGCAAGAGUUAUUCUAUGUAUAUUUCCCUCAAGAACCAUAAACUUGGUGUUACCAGCCCCAGGUCUGAGCUCCUUCGACUUUAGGCUCUUAGUUCCUCUGCUUUCAGUAGGGGUCUAAUUACUGGCUUUGCAUGGAAAAUGUUAUCUGAUUGGCCAUUAAAAGUGGGACUGGCUCUGCUAUACCCGCCCUUGUUGGUAACGGCCAACUUGUGGAGGAUGCCAACCUAUCCUCAUGGUUGAAGACAUGUAUUAUGAUGUGAUCCCGAGAAUACCUAGCAUUGUGGGGAAUGCUGGAUGCCUAGCACAGUGGUACUAGAAGCCUCCUAAAUAAGUACAGACUUAUCAGAUAUGGACUAACCAAUAUGCUAUGAACAGUCAACAGGUUUUAUUUUGGAGCAAAGGGAGCCCUAGUCGAGUUUUGGAAUAAGCUAGUUUUAGUUUUAAUGUAUAGAUCCCAAAUUAGCAUUUGAUGUUUAGCCUUGUAGUAUUGUGUAUUUUAGGAUUUAAUGAAAGUUGUGUACCUUAAAGUAUUAAGAGAUAUUUUAUGUGAAGUUUAGAAUUUGAGUAACUGGUGGAUUAUGUUAUUCUUUGAGUACAGUGUAGAUGCUCUAAAUGUCAA